GGUAAGAGGGGGUGAGGGGGCUAGGGGACCUAGACCUAGCCCCGUUGCCGGUGGGGGGGGUAGUGGAUGGGGCAGCAAGUGGGGAGCGGUCCGCGAGCGACCUGGGGCAGCCGCGGCAAGGCAGCAGAGAAGGUGCGGAAGGGGGAGCGAGUUCUAGUGCGGGCUUCCGGUGUCUGCGGUACCGGUGGCGGCGGGGCGGACCUGGAGCGGCCUCGGCGGAGCGGCCUGACGAAGGAGAGGCAGGGGCAGCAGAGGUAGAGGAGGGGCGCGGGGCCACGGAACAGGGAUGUGGUUUGCUGGGGCUCUCACGGUCGCUGGGGGUCAAGCUGAUGCCACAACUGCUGAGUAGGAAGAACGAUCUCGUUGGUCUGCAACCUCGGGUCCUCGGUCUGCGGUGGUAGCUGCUACUGAGGAUGAUGUGACCUCCACGGAUGAUGAUGUAAGUCGGGCGGCUGCUGGUCCUCAUCAAAUCCUCCUAGGGUCCGUCCUCCGGACGCGGAGAAAGCUAGACAUAGGGUCAAACACGAUCGGUAGAAUACCGUGGAACAAAUUGAAUACAAACAUGAGUCUAUAACAACGAAGGCGACCGAGCAGAUACUAGCUCGUGAACAUAAGCUCGGUAGCUCCGGGGACCGAACAUAAUACUACGAACAUACUGAAUAAAAUAAAAUCUCAACACAACACUAU
rnacentral:rRNA from 1 species